GCCAGACUCCUACGGGAGGCAGCAGUGAGGAAUAUUGGUCAAUGGGCGAGAGCCUGAACCAGCCAAGUCGCGUGAGGGAAGACGGUCCUACGGAUUGUAAACCUCUUUUGUCAGGGAGCAAGGAGCGCCACGAGUGGUGCGGCGAGAGUACCUGAAGAAAAAGCAUCGGCUAACUCCGUGCCAGCAGCCGCGGUAAUACGGAGGAUGCGAGCGUUAUCCGGAUUUAUUGGGUUUAAAGGGUGCGUAGGCGGAAGGUUAAGUCAGCGGUCAAAUGUCGGUGCUCAACACCGGCCUGCCGUUGAAACUGGUCUUCUUGAGUGAGCGAGAAGUAUGCGGAAUGCGUGGUGUAGCGGUGAAAUGCAUAGAUAUCACGCAGAACUCCGAUUGCGAAGGCAGCAUACCGGCGCUCAACUGACGCUGAGGCACGAAAGCGUGGGGAUCGAACAGGAUUAGAUACCCGAGUA
rnacentral:rRNA from 1 species